rnacentral:lncRNA from 1 species
CCACAGUACAGACAACAGUUAUUAUUCAUCCUCCAUGAGCGCUCCCAAACUGAUAGCCUAGUUCUUCCCAACUGCAUAGGCUCAGGAGUAUCCAACUCCCCUUCGACUCCUCUCACAAGAGCUGCCUUCAGAAACUUCCGGAUUCCAUAGGAGGUGAAUGCGCCAUAUUGGGUGCACGAGCGUGCCCGAGACAAGACCUCCUCUCACUCUUGCGUUCCCUUAGGCGUCCAUCAAUUUUAAUUGUUAAGGCGAUAAGAGAUUCGAGGUACACUGGCAGUUCCCGAGCAGCUAGCUCAUCCUUUACCUCCUCAGAUAAUCCGUGCAGAAAAGUAUUGAAAAGAGACUCCGGAUUCCAGGCACUCUCGGCAGCCAACGUGCAAAAGUCCACCGCGUAGUCUGCCACACUAGGGGAGUUUUGACAUAAAUCAAGCAGUUUGCUGGCCGCCUUUCUCCCGGAUACCGGAGACUCAAAAACUUUUCUGACCUCUGCCAUGAAUUCCUCCAAAUGACUGCAAAUGGUAGAUUGUUGUUCCCAAACUGCCGUAGCCCAGGAGAGCAUCCUUCCCGACAUUAGCGUAAGGUAAAACUCCUUACGUAAGACAACUCCUGGAUGUCUCCUUACAUACCGUUGAUCGGUCUGAAGAAAACAAAGAUGGCUGUAGCUCAAAAAUAAGCGAGCACUGAGAGAAAAAAACCCGGCAGGUACCAGGAUUUCCCGAAUAUCGCUCUGGAGGAGGAGGUGCUGAAGGACCUGUCUGACAUGGAGUACAUGUUCUUGGGCAGAUCAGGAAAAAAAAAACAGGAUGUCAUCCAGGUAGAUGAACACAAACUGGCUUAGCAUGUCCCUAAGCACUUUAUUGACCAAAGCCUGGAAGACAGCAAGGGCAUUGUUGAGUCCAAAUGACAUGACCUGGUACUCAUAAUGUCCACUGGCUGUGUUGAAGGUGGUCUUCCACUCAUCCCCCUCGCGUAUUCAAACCAGGUGGUAGACAUUCCGAAGGUCCAACUUGGAAAACAUGGUAGCCCCCUGGAGAGGUUAAAACGCAGAGGAGAGGCAGGGGGUAACGAUUUUUGACAGUGAUAUCGUUAAGUCUCCGGUAGUCAAUGCACGGGCACAGGGUCUUGUCCUUCUUCUCCACAAAGAAAAACCCUGCGCCGGCAGGAUAUGCAGAUGGACGGACGGCCCCAGCGGCCAGAGACUCUUCUAUG